GUGCUGACUUCGGCAACACAUAUACUAAAAUUGAAAUGAUACAAAGAACAACAUGGCCCCUGCACAAGGAUGACAUGCAAAUUCGUGAAGCGUUCUGUACUUAA
rnacentral:snRNA from 1 species